rnacentral:misc_RNA from 1 species
UUCCACAUUCAUUAUCUACAAUAGUACGAAGUUCAGUGUCACCAGCAUGUGAAUUUACUGCAGCUCUAAGCUCAUUCAUCAGCCUGUUAUGCUCCUCUAACCAACGUGAAUAUUCUACAUCGAAUGCUAGGGCCCCAUUCCCACUCAUUGAAUGAGCUUGGUCUCCAGAAUUUGAAAUAAAUAUACCCUGCUGGCGGGCCCGCUGGAGUUCUUGCUCAAGUUGAGUAAGCUUCAGUCUGCUACUUUCUAGCUGCUGCACAUAUGCUUUUUUCCUUAAACGGCUUUUUCUAGCAGCUUCGCGAUUUUGAGCAAGCCUUCGUAAGGUCUUCUGAUCUGCUGUUUUUUCUUUUGAUUUGUUGCUAGAAUCAUAUGCGGCAAGUGAGUUUCCUUGAUCCUUGUCAAGCCUUUGACUUUUGUCAUCCGUGUCAUCUGUGGAGGUAUCAGUUCUUGUGCUGGUAUCUGCCAUAUUAGACUCUCCCCAAUUUUCACGAGGACCACCAGAAGUAGAAACCAAAUUUGGAUUUGACUCCUUCUGUAAUGGCAGUGUUCG